rnacentral:rRNA from 1 species
UACGUAGGGGGCGAGCGUUGUUCGGAAUUACUGGCGUAAAGGGCUCGUAGGCGGCCAACUAAGUCAGACGUGAAAUCCCCAGGCUCAACCUGGGAACUGCGUCUGAUACUGGAUGGCUUGAAUUCGGGGAGAGGGAUGCAGAAUUCCAGGUGUAGCGGUGAAAUGCGUAGAUAUCUGGAGGAAUACCGGUGGCGAAGGCGGCAUCCUGGACCGACAUUGACGCUGAUGAGCGAAAGCUAGGGGAGCAAACGGG